UAGGUUUUGAUAAAAGUGGAAGAGGAGAAAUAGCAGCGCCGCCAGUAACACCACCUUCUUCUCAAGAUCUAAAUUCGAAUCAUGCAAAGAUUGCCAAGACUACCACUCCGAGGAGCACCACCCGCGGGGCCGGAAGAAACUUCGAUUGAGGCUGCAAAACCUAAAGAGUGCCUAGGAGAAGCAGGUGGAAACCCACCUUAGAGAAGGAGCUCGACUCUUAUUCCCUUAUUAUAAGGAAGCCGUGACUGAGAAAGUACACGAACUGAGCCAGUGCAUAGUUUACGGAACGCCGUUAUCGCGAUUCCGCUGGAGGAGAGUGACUUCCGUUGAUGUUUGUUGACGAGAUCUACUAACAGAUUGAAUGGGGAGGUCAGUAGCGACGCAAUCGUGCUGGCGGAGUCGGUAACCUACACCACUGUGAUGAGUAACGUGUUGUUUGCGGGAUGGAGAGUGACUUAUGGAUUGCCUAAUGUCGAUGCUGAUGUAUUAAAGAACUAGACCGAAUCGUGUCUUUAGUGUUGGAAGACGAGAAAUUUGAAAUUGUUGACGCAAUCUGUCCGAGAACAGUUUGGUGUUCGAUCGCAUGUGCCCGAAUCGACGCAUGUGCCCGAGAGGAUCAUGAUAGCAUUAUUGCGGUCUCUGGUAAUGUGGUCUCUGGUAAUGUGGUCUCUGGUAAUGUGGUCUCUGGUAAUGUGGUCGCUACUAGUGUAGUUAGUUUUGGUGGUUGAAUGUAUUUUGAUUAUAAUUAAUUAAAUUAUUUAUUUUUCUUGAAAGCAAGAGUGUGAUAUUUUAUGUGGCUGUUGGUAAUGUGACUUUCUUUCUGUGCAUUUAUCUAGCCAUAUUAAGUAGUAGUUGGUGUUUCAUUGUUUUCACCUUUCCAUGAGUUCUUUAUCUGAUCAAGUUUUGGGAAAGAGAUUAUUUGCUUAUUUACUAUUUUUUUUUUUCAGAAAUGAUAGAAGCUGUAUAAGGGCUAAAGAAGGCAUCCACAAAGCUCAGUAAAGGUAUUCCUGAGGCAGAUAUCCGCUCGUUAGUGGAUUUUUCGAUGCAGAAAAAUAGUGAAGCCAUGUGCAUAACACUUCCUAACAUAAUUUGGUCUGUGUCUCAAAUAUUCAAAUGCCUAUGAUGAUUCAUUUAAUUUUUUAACAUAUCAUGGUAGGCAAUCCAUAAGUCUCUCCCCCGCAAACACGUUAGUCUUUACAGUGGCGUAGGUCCCCGACUCAGCCAGCACGAUUGCGCCGCUACCGACCUCUCUAUUUAAUCUGUCAUGGAUCUGGUCAACAAGCUUUAACGAAGGUCACUCCCCUCCAGCACAAUCGGGAUGACGACCUUUCGUGAACCACCGUACUGGCUCAGUUUGACAUGCACUUUCUCAGCCACAGCUUCCUUCUAAUAGCGGAACAAGGCGUCAGGUUUCCGCUUGCUUCUCCUCGACACUCUAAUAUAUGACACAAUGACACAUUUGUUUAUAAUUGUUUAUUUGAUUAAUAACAUGUCAUUUAUGUCAUACGUUAUUAUUACAAUGUUGUUACUAUCGAUUUGAUUAAAAAAAAACUAUAUUAACUUGUUA